rnacentral:RNase_P_RNA from 1 species
GCGGAGGGCUGGAUGACCGCGGGCCCCGGACCUGAUCCGGGGUUCGAGGAAAGUCCGGACUCCCGUUGGCAAGGGUGCCGGGUAACGCCCGGCGGGGGCAACCCCAGGGAAAGCGCCACAGAGAAGAGACAGCCCCUGUUCACAGGGGUCACGGUGAAACGGUGGGGUAAGAGCCCACCGCGGACUUGGCAACAAGGACGGCACGGCAAGCCCCACCCGGAGCAAUGCCAAAUAGGGGCCUCGCGCGGGGGCUGGUCCCGGAUCUCGGUCCGGGAUACCGCCCGCAGGGAUGCCAACGCCCGAGAGGCCCGGGUUGGCAGCUUGACCGCCGUGGCAACACGGUUGGCAGAGGAAUGGUCAUCCAGCCCCGGAUCACGGUCCGGGGUGGACAAAAUCCGGCUUACAGGCUCUCCGCGCAA